UAGGGAAUAUUGCGCAAUGGGCGAAAGCCUGACGCAGCAACGCCGCGUGAAGGAUGAAGGCCUUCGGGUCGUAAACUUCUGUCAGGAGGGAAGAACGUGCAUGGGUUAAUAACCCAUGUGCUUGACGGUACCUCCAGAGGAAGCCCUGGCUAACUCCGUGCCAGCAGCCGCGGUAAUACGGAGAGGGCAAGCGUUAUUUGGAUUUAUUGGGCGUAAAGGGCGUGUAGGCGGCUUGGCAGGUCAAAGGUGAAAUCCCUCGGCUCAACCGAGGAACUGCCUUUGAAACCGCCUGGCUAGAGGCCGGGAGAGGGUAGUGGAAUUCCCAGUGUAGCGGUGAAAUGCGUAGAUAUUGGGAGGAACACCAGUGGCGAAGGCGACUGCCUGGACCGGUUCUGACGCUGAGGCGCGAAAGCGUGGGGAGCAAACAGGAUUAGAUACCCCCGUAGUCC
rnacentral:rRNA from 1 species